rnacentral:lncRNA from 1 species
AAUUCCUGAAUUUACAGUAUAUAAAACAUACUAAAUUAACAUUGCAGUACUUCUUCUGGCACAAUAGCAUUUCACUUAAUAUUUCACAACAUGUGCAGCUCAAAUUAGCAUCAUAGUACAACAUAAAUAUGCUAUAUAUAUGUACGAUACAGAAGUUAUAUAAUAUAAGUUAUUAAACAAAUAGGUGACAAAUUAGACCUCAUUUGUCUAAUCAUAAAUGAUCGAGGAUGUGGAUGGGGGUUUACAGAAUUGUGAAAAAAUGGCAAAAAUUAUGAAGAAAAGAUAAAAAAUUUACCAAAAACAUAAAGAAUAGAGAAUAAUGGGUUGCUAAAAUAUAAAUAAUAUAGAAUUUAGGCCAAAACAAAUAUCAAAAAACCUAAAAAAAACGCCAAAAAUAUUAAGAAUAGAGAAAUGAAGAUCCCCUUCCAUACCCCCUUGUCUAUAAUCAUAAUGAUUUUUAGUUUUUUCGGUGGCAAGAAUUAACAUACAGAGAAGAACAUAAAUUAAAUCAUCAUGUAAUUAUGUAACUAUUAGUAAACUAAACAAUGGUUUCCCUCUUGACAUCUGGUAGUACAUGUAUAGUUAUUGUGGUUACAAUAAAUUCAAAUUAAUUGAAUACUUGUCAUUUUGGGGGCUUU